rnacentral:tRNA from 1 species
GGCCCCGUGGCGGAACGGCAGACGCAGCGGACUUAAAAUCCGCGGCCCGGCAACGGGCGUGUGGGUUCGACUCCCACCGGGGCCA